UCCCCACGCCGGGAAUGGAACCCGUGCCUCCUGGGUACUAGCCAGGUAUCCUAGCUACUAGACCAUGCUACGGAG